CGGGGACGUUAUAACCACUUCAAAUAAGCUUUCAGAAUCCUGCUCCUCUCAGACCCAGUUCACGGCAAUAAAGAAGAAACCCUAAUCUGGUGAAAAAGUGGAGAAAACGAGAGCACAAAGUGGAUCCAGCAGAGCCACAGGCAGGUAGAGGUCAAGUUAAGCUGGAGGAGCGAUGGGCCUGACCAUGUUCCCAGAAUAAGAAGGCAGACACACUGUCCCGGCUGUAUGACACAGAGGAGCGGCCCAUGGAUCAGACUCCCAUACUCCCGGCCUCCUGCCUGGUAGCGCCUGUCAUGUGGGAUCUGGAUGUGGACAUUGAGCAGGCGUUGCGUACAGAGCCCGCUCCCCCUCCAGUGUCCCAUUGGGCGUAUGUACGUUCCGUCUGCUGUCCAUGACCAGUUGAUCUCUUGGGCCCACACGUCUCCCUCCUCUGGUCAUCCGUGGAUUGGUUGAACUGUGCACUGUCUGACUGGGAAGUACUGGUGGCCCCCUUUGGCUAAGGACGUGAGUGUUUAUGUCCCCUCCUGCUUGGUGUGUGCCCAGUGUAAGGCUCCGAGACACCUGCCCAGAGGGAAAUACCACGAUCCUGUCGUUGUGGAUCGUUUUUCUAAGUCCUGUCGUCUCCUCCCUCUGCUUGGUCUCCCUACGGCCCUACAGACUGCGGAGGCCCUGUUUACACACGUCUUCCGGCACUACGGGGUGCCUGAGGAUAUAGGGUCCCCAGUUCACGUCGAGAGUUUGGAAGGCGUUCAUGGAACGUCUGGGGGUCUCGAUUAGCAUUACCUCAGGUUUUCACCCCGAGAAUAACAGGCAGGUAGAGAGAGUCAACCAGGAUUUGGGCAGGUUUCUGCGGUCCUAUUUCCAGGUCCGGCCAGGGGAGUGGGCAGCAUUUGUGCCCUGGGCCAAGAUGGCACAGAACUAGCUUCGUCACUCCUCCACUAACCUUUCCCCCUUUCAGUGCGUAUUGGGGUACCAGUCGGUUCUGGCACCGUGGCAUCAGAGUCAGACCGAGACUCCUGCGGUGGACGAAUGGUUUAGGAGGCGUUCGGUGAGCAACGUCACCGGCGCUCUAGCCAUCGCCGCUCCAUUUUUCAUAUAUCCAUUUUUCUUGUCUUGUUUCCAUACACACCUGGUUUUCAUUUCCCCAAUCAAUCUACUUGUAUUUAACCCUCUGUUUCCCAUCAUGUUUUGUGUGUAAUUGUUUCAUGUUAUUGUGGUGUCUUAUUACGCGCUUUACUUUUGUUAUGUUCCUUGUUUUGAGCGCAUUUGAUUUAUGUAGUGCUCUCGUUUUGGAACUAAAAUAAAAGUGUGCCUGUUUACAUCA